GGACAAACACAUGGAGAUGGUGAAAUAUCUACUACAAAUCAGAAAAAAUCAGAGGAUCCCAAAAUUAUCAGGGGUGGGGGUCAGACUCGCAAAUCCAAAAGGCUGAAAUCUGACACCGACCAGGCCUCGCCUGGCAUUGAGGAGGGGUCAUUUUCCAAGCUGAAAGCAUCUCAGGAUUUUGAAGAAGUUGGGGAACAGAGUUGCACAACCAAAAGGAAGAAGUCUGGCAUUACCAGGACUACAAAGACUUAUCCUUCUCAUGGUGCUGGAGAGGUCUUCAUUUUAAAUGAGAAAACAUCUCUGGGUUCGAAAGAAAAUGGGGCACAAAGUCCCCAAUCCAAAAGACAGAAACCUGGCAGUGGCUGUCCGUCUGCAAAGAGUGUUUCUUCUGUUGCAGUUGACUGUGAUUCAGCAGAUGAAUUACCCCCUGGCUGGAAAAAAGAAAGUAGGAAAAAUGAUCGUGGAACAAGGAAUUACCUGCUCUACACAGAUCCAGUACAUGGAUAUAAAUUUCACUCCAAAAAGGAAGUUCUCCGAUAUCUACAAACUGGAGAUGCUACU
rnacentral:misc_RNA from 1 species